CAACGGAUCUCUUGGUUCUGGCAUCGAUGAAGAACGCAGCGAAAUGCGAUAAGUAAUGUGAAUUGCAGAAUUCAGUGAAUCAUCGAAUCUUUGAACGCACAUUGCGCCCCUUGGUAUUCCGAGGGGCAUGCCUGUUCGAGCGUCAUUGCAACCUUCAA
rnacentral:rRNA from 1 species